UACGUAGGGACCAAGCGUUGUUCGGAUUUACUGGGCGUAAAGGGCGCGUAGGCGGCAAUUCAAGUCAUCUGUGAAAUCUCCGGGCUUAACUCGGAACGGUCAGAUGAUACUGCUUUGCUCGAGUGCGGAAGGGGCAAUCGGAAUUCUUGGUGUAGCGGUGAAAUGCGCAGAUAUCGGGAAGAACACCCGUGGCGAAGGCGGCUCUCUGGGACGGUACUGGACGCUGAGACGCGAAAGCGUGGGGAGCGAACGAGG
rnacentral:rRNA from 1 species